CCUACGGGUGGCAGCAGUGAGGAAUAUUGGUCAAUGGGCGCGAGCCUGAACCAGCCAAGUCGCGUGAGGGAAGACGGUCCUAUGGAUUGUAAACCUCUUUUGUAGGGGAGCAAAAGACGCCACGCGUGGCGUUCUGAGUGUACCCGAAGAAAAAGCAUCGGCUAACUCCGUGCCAGCAGCCGCGGUAAUACGGAGGAUGCGAGCGUUAUCCGGAUUUAUUGGGUUUAAAGGGUGCGUAGGCGGAAGAUUAAGUCAGCGGUAAAAUUUAGAGGCUAAACCUCUUAGAGCCGUUGAAACUGGUGUUCUUGAGUGAGCGAGAAGUAUGCGGAAUGCGUGGUGUAGCGGUGAAAUGCAUAGAUAUCACGAAGAACUCCGAUUGCGAAGGCAGCAUACCGGCGCUCAACUGACGCGCAUGCACGAAAGUGUGGGUAUCGAACAGGAUUAGAUACCCGGGUAGUC
rnacentral:rRNA from 1 species